AGUGAACGCUGGCGGCGUGCCUAACACAUGCAAGUCGAACGCGAAAGUCAUCUUCGGGUGAUGAGUAGAGUGGCAGACGGGUGAGUAACACAUAGGUAAUCUAUCUUUGAGAGCGGGACAACAUGCCGAAAGGCAUGCUAAUCCCUCAUAAUAUCUAUAGUUUUAAGAUUGUAGAUCAAAGGGUGGGAUCCUUCGGGACCACUCGCUUAAAGAGGAGCCUAUGUCCUAUUAGUUAGUUGGUGGGGUAAUGGCCUACCAAGACGAUGAUGGGUAGCCGAGCUGAGAGGCUGAUCGGCCACACUGGAACUGAAACACGGUCCAGACUCCUACGGGAGGCGGCAGUGGGGAAUUUUGCGCAAUGGGCGAAAGCCUGACGCAGCGACGCCGCGUGAGGGAUGAAGGUUCUCGUGAUUGUAAACCUCUGUCAGGAAGGAUUAAAUGAUUAUGU
rnacentral:rRNA from 1 species